AAGGCGGGAAAGGAGGCUGGACCUGCCCCUGCGGGGCUGUGGGCUGAACACAGGGUUCAGGCUAGGUACCCCAUCCAGUGGGACCCCAAAUCUGAGCAUGGCAGCUGCCCCCUGAGCUCCUAUGAGGUGGAGACGUCACACAGUGGCUGAGCGUAAGCUCAAGGAUCUGGUGCGGGUGGAAGGAGGAAGAAGGGCGCACCCCCUGCUGGCUCCCCCUCCCCGUGGGACUCCCU
rnacentral:lncRNA from 1 species